rnacentral:siRNA from 1 species
AGACAAGGUCGAGUGGCUGGUC